UUUAUUAGUUAGCUAAGCUUAAGUUAUAUUUAAUGAAAAUUAAUAAAGUGUUAAAUUGAAUGCAAAAAUCGAUAACUGCAAUAAGUAGUCCUAUUAAUGUUGUAUGCAAAAAUAUAAAAAUAAUAAUGAAAAUAAAAUUUCCAAAUUAAAAUGUAAAUAAAAGAACAAAUGGCCUGUUUAAUAAAUGUGUUGUAAAUGUUAAAAAAAUAAAUAAGUGUUAGUUCAAAAUUUCAUGUCUAUCAUUACGGAAAUUAAUCUAACUGAAAGCUGUUAAGUGACCAGUUUUCAUCAUGCCAGAAGAAAUUGUAUUUUCAACACAACCAGUAAAUGCAACCAUUAUGAACUCAUAAGACCUCACUCUACAUUCAACCCUUACUUCCCUCCUUUAAGACAAUUUUGUUGUCACGCAAAUACAGUUAAAUGGAAUGUAACAACACAUGCAGACACACACCCGUAACAAUGUAUGUAAUAUUUUAAUUGUUUUUGUAAGUAUGAGUAAAUAACCGGAAACGGAGUUUUAAAAAACAGGUUGUACAAAAUUAAACAAUUGGAAUUGUGA